AGUGAACGCUGGCGGCAGGCCUAACACAUGCAAGUCGAACGGCAGCACAGGGGUAGCAAUACCCUGGGUGGCGAGUGGCGGACGGGUGAGGAAUACGUCGGAAUCUGCCUAUUUGUGGGGGAUAACGUAGGGAAACUUACGCUAAUACCGCAUACGACCUACGGGUGAAAAGCGGAGGACCUUCGGGCUUCGCGCAGAUAGAUGAGCCGACGUCGGAUUAGCUAGUUGGCGGGGUAAAGGCCCACCAAGGCGACGAUCCGUAGCUGGUCUGAGAGGAUGAUCAGCCACACUGGAACUGAGACACGGUCCAGACUCCUACGGGAGGCAGCAGUGGGGAAUAUUGGACAAUGGGC
rnacentral:rRNA from 1 species